GGGUCAGUAGGUUGGUCGUGCCACCGGUACGUACUGGUCUCACUGAUUCCUCCUUCCUGAAGAACCUUAAUGCCAUUAAUUUGGUGUUGCGGGGAAACAGGACUGUUACUUUGAAAAAAUUAGAGUGUUUAAAGCAAGCUAACGCUUGAAUACAUUAGCAUGGAAUAAUGAAAUAGUACGAUCGAUCCUAUUUUGUUGGUUUCGAGGAUUGACGUA
rnacentral:rRNA from 1 species